rnacentral:rRNA from 1 species
GUUGAACGCUGGCGGCAUGCCUUACACAUGCAAGUCGAACGGCAGCACGGGUGCUUGCACCCUGUGGCGUGUGGCGAACGGGUGAGUAAUACAUCGGGACAUGUCCUGUAGUGGGGGAUAGCACGGCGAAAGCAGGAUUACUAACGCAUACUAUCUACGGAUGAAAGCGGGGGCCAAUCUGGCCUCGCGCUUUAGGGUUGGCUGAUGGCUGAUUAGCUAGUUGGUGGGGUAAAGGCCUACCAAGGCGACGAUCAGUAGCUGGUCUGAGAGGACGACCAGCCACACUGGAACUGAGACACGGCCCAGACUCCUACGGGAGGCAGCAGUAGGGAAUUUUGGACAAUGGGCGAAAGCCUGACCCAGCAAUGCCGCGUGUGUGAAGAAGGCCUUCGGGUUGUAAAGCACUUUUGUCCGGAAAGAAAACAUGGGCUCGAAUCCAGUCGGAGGAUGACGGUACCGGAAGAAUAAGCAACGGCUAACUACGUG